rnacentral:lncRNA from 1 species
GUCCCAAAUUAAAGCCUCAGCUCUUUUCUCCAAGAGCUCCCAAGAGUUGAAAAACACCCUCCUGCUUCAAGCUUCCUUUCCCUUGCAGACUUCUUGAGAAUCCCAAAACAUUUGAAGCCAGAUUCUGAAGACUGCUGGCCUCCUUGUACAGAUCUACUUUCUGGACUCAUGUACCCACACAAGCCUGCCUUUGGAAUGGUAGAGAGUUGACUGUGCUAUCAUGUUUGAAUCUUCAGGGAAGGUCUAUUCGGCUAGCCAUGAGACAUCAGAAAGGCUGCCUUUACCUUUGUGACAUCAUAAUCUUCUCAUUCACAGCAGAGAAAACACGAAGAUGACAGCCAGUGGUUUCAGAAAGGCAAGAAGCUCUUCGUCUGCAUUCACCUUUCUUUUCCCUUUUCACUGAAAGCGAAGAUCAACAUACGGG